rnacentral:tRNA from 1 species
GCCUGGCUAGCUCAAUGGCUAGAGCGUUUGACUUUUAAGAAUGAGAUUUUCUCAACUUAAGAGGUAUCAAAAGGUUGCGGGUUCGACCCCCGCGUCGGGCU